UACGAAGGGGGGCUAGCGUUGCUCGGAAUUACUGGGCGUAAAGGGCGCGUAGGCGGCGCGGAUAGUCGGCGGUGAAAGCCCGGAGCUCAACUCCGGGUCGGCCGUCGAUACUUCCGGGCUUGAGCACUGUAGAGGCAGAUGGAAUUCCGGGUGUAGCGGUGGAAUGCGUAGAGAUCCGGAAGAACACCGGUGGCGAAGGCGGUCUGCUGGGCAGUUGGCUGACGCUGAUGCGCGACAGCGUGGGGAGCAAACGAGG
rnacentral:rRNA from 1 species